rnacentral:rRNA from 1 species
GACGAACGCUGGCGGCGUGCUUAACACAUGCAAGUCGAACGAUGAAGCCGGAGCUUGCUCUGGUGAAUUAGUGGCGAACGGGUGAGUAACACGUGAGUAACCUGCCCUUGACUCUGGGAUAACUGCUAGAAAUGGUAGCUAAUACCGGAUACGACCCUCGGAGGCAUCUUCAGGGGGUGGAAAGAAUUUCGGUCAAGGAUGGACUCGCGGCCUAUCAGCUAGUUGGUGAGGUAAUGGCUCACUAAGGCGACGACGGGUAACCGGCCUGAGAGGGUGACCGGCCACACUGGGACUGAGACACGGCCCAGACUCCUACGGGAGGCAGCAGUGGGGAAUAUUGCACAAGGGGCGCAAGCCUGAUGCAGCAACGCCGCGUGAGGGAUGACGGCCUUCGGGUUGUAAACCUCUUUUAGUAGGGAAGAAGCGAAAGUGACGGUACCUGCAGAAAAAGCACCGGCUAACUACGUGCCAGCCGCCGCCGUAA